rnacentral:rRNA from 1 species
UACAGAGGUCUCAAGCGUUGUUCGGAUUCAUUGGGCGUAAAGGGUGCGUAGGCGGCGCGGUAAGUCGGGUGUGAAAUCUUGGAGCUUAACUCCGAAACUGCAUUCGAUACUGCCGUGCUUGAGGACUGGAGAGGAGACUGGAAUUUACGGUGUAGCGGUGAAAUGCGUAGAUAUCGGAAGGAACACCGAUGGCGAAGGCAGGUCUCUGGGCCACUACUGACGCUGAGAAGCGAAAGCAUGGGGAGCGAACAGG